CAGUAUUGCACCGCAAUUAUGGCCAAAAAUUAAAAGCAGUGAAAAUACCAAAGUAUAUAUACAAUAUAAAAAUACCGCCAACAGAAAAAGUCCUAAUAAAAGUCCAGUGUGAAGCAAACGCGUUUCAGCCCUCAAUGGGGCCUUCCUCAGUGCUGUAUUCCUGGAGCAACUUCAGGGUUUAAAUAACCCCCUUGAUGUGUCUAAAUCU